rnacentral:rRNA from 1 species
CCUACGGGAGGCAGCAGUCGGGAAUAUUGGACAAUGGAGGAAACUCUGAUCCAGUGACGUCGCGUGAAGGAAGAAGGUCUUCGGAUUGCAAACUUAUUUUGUCAGGGAAGAAAAAAAUGACAGUACCUGAAGAAAAAGCACCGGCCAACUACGUGCCAGCAGCCGCGGUAAU